AGAUGUAGUUUAUGAAUUGUGUCUCGGGGAAAACUUGGAGAAAAUCAGAGUUCGCCUUCUGAGGACAAGUCCAGUUGCUCUAUCACUGAGUGACAGCAGGGGCAAUAAGCGUACUGACCAUUUUAUUGUGGUAAUUGUUUUUUUAGGAAGGUAGCGCCACAGAGAACACAGAAAAAGGCGCUCCCACCGAAGAAAGGCAACUUUGUCAACGUGGUUCGCAAAGCACAAGCUGCUGCAUGGGAAGAGAAGUUUAUGGCGAUGAAAGCCAAA